GAUGAAGAACGUAGCGAAAUGCGAUAAGUAAUGUGAAUUGCAGAAUCCAGUGAAUCAUCGAAUGUUUGAACGCACAUUGCGCCCGCCAGCAUUCUGGCGGGCAUGCCUGUUCGAGCGUCAUUUCAACCCUCGACCUCCCCUUGGGGAGGUCGGCGUUGGGGACCGGCAGCACACCGCCGGCCCUGAAAUGGAGUGGCGGCCCGUCUGCGGCGACCUCUGCGUAGUAAUACAGCUCGCACCGGAACCCCGACGCGGCCACGCCGUAAAACACCCAACUUCUGAACGUUGACCUCGAAUCAGGUAGGACUACCCGCUGAACUUAAGCAUAUCAAUAAGCGGAGGA
rnacentral:misc_RNA from 1 species